AUUGAACGCUGGCGGCAGGCCUAACACAUGCAAGUCGAGCGAGCGGCGGACGGGUGAGUAAUGUAUGGGGAUCUGCCCGUUAGGGGGGGAUCACCACUGGAAAACGAGGCCAAAAACGCCAACUCUAGGUUUAACCCAUAUGGGAUGAGCUAGUAGGCGGGGUAAUGGCUCACCUAGGCGACGAUCUCUAGCUGGUCUGAGAGGAUGAACGGCCACACUGGGACUGAGACACGGCCCAGACUCCUACGGGAGGCAGCAGUGGGGAAUAUUGCACAAUGGGCGCAAGCCUGAUGCAGCCAUGCCGCGUGUAUGAAGAAGGCCUUAGGGUUGUAAAGUACUUUCAGCGGGGAGGCGUUACCCGCAGAAGAAGCACCGGCUAACUCCGUGCCAGCAGCCGCGGUAAUUC
rnacentral:rRNA from 1 species